rnacentral:lncRNA from 1 species
GCUUUGAUUCUAUAUUUUUCACGUUUCAGGAACAUACCAGAUCUUUAAUGGAAAAUGAAAAGUGGUUGGAAAGAGAACACUGGUUCCAAGUCCCCAGACCUUGCUGUCUUAAUUAGUUUCACUGUUACAGAUGUGUGCUAGUCAUUACUGCCUUUCUGUGACUGAAGUUGGAGUUCACGUUGACAAGCCUUGUGGUGAUGUCCCUGAGAGGAUGAAUAGACUGUUUAAUGCACUCUUGUCCUGGAAUCAGCCAAACAUCAAAGGCAUCGUGUGGUUCAUUAUUAAAAAAAAAUACACUUGCACAGAAAGCCUUAGAAAUUAAUGUUAGACUUUUAGUUUGCAUAUGAGGUCGUGCUGCUCCAGUAUGUAUCCCAAAUAUUCUGAGAAAAACCUGUCUCUUCUUAAAUAUGUUUUGAAAAACUGUGUUCCUAAUCUACUAUUGAUUUUAAUAAGGAAGUAAUAUGUUAUAUAAAUGCUGGACAUCGUAGUAUAAAUAAGCAAGCUUUUAAUGCAUAUAAUAAAUCUAUCUAAAUCUAUGUAUAUAUUAAUCUC